GGCGAAGUGCCAGAGUGGUUAAUGGGUUUGACUCGAACUAGCUCUGAAUCCUCAGAGCGUUUACAUCAAAUGGCUUCGGCCGCGCAAGUUCGAAUCUUGUCUUCGUCG
rnacentral:tRNA from 1 species